ACUGUAGCGCAAUGGAUAGCGCGUUGGACUUCUAAUCCAAAGGUCGUGGGUUUGAAUCCCACCUGGGAUG
rnacentral:tRNA from 1 species